rnacentral:rRNA from 1 species
UGCUUGGGAAUCUACCCAGUAGUGGGGGACAACAGUUGGAAACGACUGCUAAUACCGCAUACGCCCUACGGGGAAAGCAGGGGAUCUUCGGACCUUGUGCUAUUGGAUGAGCCCGCGUGAGAUUAGAUAGUUGGUGGGGUAAUGGCCUACCAAGUCGACGAUCUCUAGCUGGUCUGAGAGGAUGAUCAGCCACACUGGAACUGAGACACGGCCCAGACUCCUACGGGAGCAGCAGUGGGGAAUCUUAGACAAUGGGCGCAAGCCUGAUCUAGCGAUGCCGCGUGAGUGAUGAAGGUCUUA